CCAAGGCGGCGCACCUCGUACCUGCGGGCUUGUUUUCUGGUUGACUAUCGCCGAAUGGCGAACAUUUCAAUGAAAUUUGCUGCUUAGAGCCCUUCUCGUCUCGUUAGGAGACCUUUCCUACACUGAAGAGAUGGUUCGGAGUGAUGUAGACACCUAUACCCGUACCUUGGAAAAAUAUUCUAGAGCUUGCAGCCACGGUUCAUGAGCAACCACGAGCCUGUGCGAAUGUCUCACUUUUGUAAGUGCUGAAACGAGGAAUAUGGUCACCAAUUUCACACCAGUGUGGUGACUUCUGAUCCAAGAGGCAAUGGCAUGAAGUCAGUAGUUUACAGUAUGUGCGGUAUGCGGCCGUCUCUCUGUCAAUGGACGUGUGACAGCUGAAGCCCAGAUUUUUCAGUUUGAUGUCUAUGGCCAGCAGCAAUCUAAUGUUGCACCUUUCCUUCCACACACAGCAAUGCUGAAUAUGCCAUGGACCGACAUCGAUAAACUGGCUAUUUGAAGAAGCAUCGCAAAUCUUGUCUGCCAAUAAACAACAGCCUAGCCAGCUAUAAUUACAGUGUGGAGAUCGGAGACGCUAAAGAUGCGAUCCCGUUAACCUAUUGCGCCAACUGUAAUGAAGAAGGCCUUAGUAAUGUGGAUUUAUUACCAUUCUUGUGUGGAUAACUAUGGCGUUAUGAUCCAAGUCAUGCAGACUAUAAAAUGAAUUAGACGUGAGAUAGUCAACUACUAGUAGUACUGCGAUUGACACUGACGACGGCAAGCGAACAGUUGAUAUCAGCAACACCGCCAGCAUCAUUCUGCGCACCAGGAGAAUUCUAUACAUAUAUCUGCCAACUGUGAUGGUAUGCCCGAUAACUUCCAUGUUUCUUGUUUUGUUACUCUAAGACUGGCAUACAAGUACAGUUAUACAUGUGCUAUUGCCAUCUCUAUCCAUAUGUGGAAUGCACUGUGUUUGUUCAA